rnacentral:rRNA from 1 species
GGGCCCGCACAAGCGGUGGAGCAUGUGGCUUAAUUCGAGGCAACGCGAAGAACCUUAUCCUGGGUUUGACAUGUACGGAUGGCUCGCCUGAAAGGGAUGAGUCUGCCUUCGGGUGAAACGUACACAGGUGCUGCAUGGCUGUCGUCAGCUCGUGUCGUGAGAUGUAGGGUUAAGUCCUUAAACGAGCGCAACCCUUGUCCUUAGUUGCCAGCGGGUCAUGCCGGGACUCUAGGAGACCGCCGGUGUUAAACCGGAGAAGGUGGGGACGACGUCAAGUCAUCAUGGCCUUUAUGCCCAGGGGCUGCACACGUGCUACAAUUGGUAGAGACAGAGGGCAGCCACUGGUGACAGGGAGCG